rnacentral:lncRNA from 1 species
GGCAGUUCAUCCACACGCUCCAAACUCCAGCUUAUUGUAGGAGACCAGUGCCUCGAUCUCAUGAGGUCAUCUCGACGCCUCAGCUGUAACCCUUGGAGAACCUGUGGUCUCUGCUCCUCUGCCUGCUGACAUGAUCAUCCCAGGUGCAAAACAGGCAUCGGAAACAAGAGGUGAAUUCUCCCCAUAUGACAGGAAAUUGGUGCAAAUGACCAGAGCCCCCCACCUCUGAGAUACGGAGUCAGAGUCGGAGCUACAAUGACGGAUGACAUCAGCAUCAAUGUCAGCAUCCCCUCCAGCAUCACCACCGUCUACCAGCAACAGGGAAUGUUGCAGGUUUGUUUCCUGUUCCUUCUCCACGUGCUGUGUGCCAAGCACAGAAAGCCUCAGUGACCAGCUACUGAAUUAACCAGAAUAUGAAUGAGAAGAAUGACAUUGGAGAAACAGCAGUGUGGCAGUUGGGGCACGGGAAGCAGUCCUGACCCCACUCUUAACUAGCCAUGCGCAAGUCCUGGGCCCUGGCUUCCUCAACACUGAGGCAGCAAAAGCAGAUUCAACAGUCACCACAACCCCUGUCGUGGCAGCAUUCUCUUUUCCUCACAUGGACAGAUGCUCACGUCGGUGACGAAGGCACUGAGGUGCCAAAGAGCUUCCCAGAACAUCAAGGGAAGACUGACUGACAGCUGGUAGAAUAAGUGACAAAUAUCCCUUUUCUUGGAAGACAAUUUAUGCGUGCUGAAGUGGGAGAAAUGUAUUACUAUGAACGCUGUCUUACUCAACUCUGUUGCAUAGCUCAGAAUUCAGUACAGGUAGAUUUAAAAUAGUCUUACAUACAGAGCAGUUUAAAAAGUAUUGUGGAUUUCUGAGUGUCCAGGUUGGAUCCUUGACACUUAAGCACAUCCACUUCUGUUAUGGCUCCCUCUGGCUACAUAAGCUUUGGUGAUUUCUUAAUGACCAAGUGAGUAGCUUGUAAGCAAGGCUGAGAAACAGGAAGAAGUCCUCUUUGGCCAUCUGGUAUAUUGAUUCAAGUGAACACC